CUAGGAAAUUGCCCUGAUGUGGGGGAUAACCAUUGGAAACGAUGGCUAAUACCGCAUGAUGCCUACGGGCCAAAGAGGGGGACCUUCGGGCCUCUCGCGUCAGGAUAUGCCUAGGUGGGAUUAGCUAGUUGGUGAGGUAAGGGCUCACCAAGGCGACGAUCCCUAGCUGGUCUGAGAGGAUGAUCAGCCACACUGGAACUGAGACACGGUCCAGACUCCUACGGGAGGCAGCAGUGGGGAAUAUUGCACAAUGGGCGCAAGCCUGAUGCAGCCAUGCCGCGUGUGUGAAGAAGGCCUUCGGGUUGUAAAGCACUUUCAGUCGUGAGGAAGGUAGUGUAGUUAAUAGCUGCAUUAUUUGACGUUAGCGACAGAAGAAGCACCGGCUAACUCCGUGCCAGCAGCCGC
rnacentral:rRNA from 1 species